GGACCAGGUUUGCUUGGGGAGUUUGCAAACUCGAGCAAAAGCUUUGGGUGAAGCCGGGCUGAGCGCUGAACUUGCAGCAAGCCAGAAGGAAGUUGAAAGGGGAACGUGGCCCAGGUGGCAGCACAGGCCACAGGUGCCCCUCAUUUGGCUUGACGGGCUGCCAGCCCUGCCCCAGCCCUCCUCAGGGAUAUCUGCAGCCAAGGAUCACAGUCUGCUCUUUUUGGCUCUGUUGUGGGGAUGCUGAGAGCAAGUCCUGCUCAUGCUGGAGAUUCUGCUACAGCCCUGAAGGAUAAUGGGAUGGGGGAGCCUGGCAUGGAGGCGCUGGCAGGACUGCGGCCCUCAGGGUGAGAUGGGAUUUCUGCCCCAGAGACCCCAUCUAAAACACCUUUGCGCUCAGCCUUUGACUAUUUGAAGCUUUCAGACAAUCGCCGUGUGGGAAAGGACAGUCCUUACAAAUCUCCCGACCUUUCAGUCCUGAAAUAUCAUUCCUUGUGAUGGAAGAGAGUAAUAACAUGUGAGAGCACCAUCACAAGCCAGCCAGCAAAGGAAAUAACAGGGUGACCUUAUAAAAUCAGCGCUGAAAAAAACCCCAAUUAUAGGGUUAAAUGCCACCGAAGUAAUGAUUCUCCUGGUUUAUCUCGCUGGCGAUACGCUGUAUUUUAAAGCCAGCCGUCGGGGACAUGUGAAAUGGCACUUAAACCAUCGGGGGAAGGUUCCCCCGUACACCAGGCAUAUUUCCAUGGAUUCCAAAACAGCCCCGGAGUCUGGGCAGGCGAGGAGUGAGCUUAAUUCCUUCCUUUGUAGUAGGAGAUCUUUGAAACUCCUAUUUGAUCGUUUCCCUAGAUUAGGACGGUUCUGCGCUGCUUUGGAGCAAUGUGUCCCCCCUGCCCACCGACCUCCUCUCCCGGCGUGAUAAGGCAUCUGUAAACACCCUCUGAAAGUCUUUACAGAGCCUCCUCUGUACAGCGCUUUGAAGCAGAGCUGCAUGAAGACCUCUGUACCGGCUGAAAAUAUCUUGCAAACUGAUAAAGAAGUGCAGGUACAGCUAAAAUCCACUGUGUAAUAAGGAUUAGCGAGCCUAAGGAGGUUUGUUUGGCUUGAAGAUGGAGUUGAAACGUCUGAGGCUUGGAUUCGACCAGAAUUAAACUGAACUUGGGUUUCAUCAGAUGCCGCGUUGGCCCUCUUCUCUCCCGCUCCUCCUCGCCCCACUCCACGCUCAGAGCAAAUACUCGGAGCUCAUCAUUUUAAAAGGAGCGGUUUAAUUUUCCCACCGGUCCAGGUCCUUGUUAAAUAUGCUGUGCUUCAACCAGCCCGCAUCUCCCUGCGCCUGCCUACCUGUGUGCUGGGCUGUAUUGAUCUCAGAUAUGUGGGCAAUUGCUCCGCCGAACACAGCCUCAAAGAGCCCCAUUUGAUCCGGUGAUGAUUCCCUAGCACAUAUCCCGACUAAUUGUAUCCGUGGAAAUCAAGUGCACUUUAACUAAUGAAAAAAAAUAAAAAAAAAGAUAACGUGGUCAAAGCUUAUUUGAAGAAAUGACAUGUUUUAAAACCUGACAUGACUUAAAACAGAAUCAUAUAAGUUCCUUUGCUAAAACACUUUCAGGAUAUAUUAGGUAUAACAAUAGUUUUCUACAUGAAAAUGGCUUUGAAAUCUUAAAAGAAAAGUAUUUUAAAAGAAAAGAAUUUUUGCGGUGCAUUAAAUUGGACGUGAAUAUGACAGAUUUCAAAGACUGUCAAAAUAACGAAUUUACAUCAUAAAUGCACAGGCUGCCUUUUUAAAGGCCUCUUCAACAACUCAGGAAGGCGUUUAAUGGUGAGCAAGUUCAAAGUGUCAUGGACUCCCACUGGUAUAAAAAGGAGGCAAUACCCACUAUACUCUCUGUGUUUCAGAUAAUGUAUCUGUCUCUUUUCAAGUUAAUAAACUGCACUCCUGUCAAAUUGCAGAUAAAUGAAAGCGACCAAGACAUUGUUUUCCCCACAUAUUGCUAAGAAAGAUAUCUCCCAAUAUUUCUAAACGACCAGUAUGCUAAAAAGAACUUGAAAUGAAUCCACCCUGCAGUUAUUUUACAGCAUCAAAGACAAUGAAAUUUCCACAGAGGCACUUUCUGAAGUUUUAAAUGCUUUAUUUCUGAUAGCUGCUCAUUAAGAAGCUUCGAAAGCUUUUUAUUGUUUCAAAGGCAGUCAUCUAAAUUUUUAAUCAUUCACUAGUGCUAUAUGGUCAUGAUGUUACUCUCUAGCUUUAAAAUCCCUUUAUUUUCUAAACAGUAAUGUCAACAUAAUGUUUCCCCAAAUAAUUGUUAGGUACGGCCUCGCUCAAAGAGCAACUGUGAGGAGGAGAGAAAGGAAAAGAGAGAGGAUUUUUCCAGCUCCCUUUUGCGAGGCAGAGAAAUGAGACACGUCAGGAAAUUAAAAGUCCGGGACCGACGGUUUACAGAGCUGGCCACCGACUUAAAGCGCUGCUCUUCUGGGAUGGUUUCGGGCCCGUUUUCAUUUUUAUUGUAGGGGAAGUUUGCGGUGGGUAUUUUUCAAGCGAACAAUGAUGCUCCGCGGGCCGAUCCUCGCUCUGUGACACAUGGGUGUCCUCGGGGAUUAAAGAGGAUUUAGGGAAAUUUCCUGUCGCUGCCCCUCGGAGCUGCUUUCCCCACACCCUGGUGUUGGAGCAGUGGGAUCGGGUGUAGCUUGGUGGGGACAUGCAAGGGGCAGCAUCCGUUCAUUCCCCACCCAUAAGAGCAUGUGGAGCCCCUGCGAAGGAGCAAAUUGGGGCAUCGCACCCCUGCCCUGGUGGUUUUGUUUUGCUCCUCGCUGCAGCACCCACCGAAGGCAGGGCUUCUCCUCACAGCCUGGGACUGCCGAUUCUCACACGCUAGGCAUGGGGAUGAGAUUGCAGUUUAUUUACUCUACAGGCUCAUAUUAAAUUUCUCCCUCCCCAAACCACAAUCCAGCCACUCUCCUCUUCAGGGACAGCAAGUUUUCCAUUCUCAGGAUCUAAGCGUUGGACUGAGCCCACGUUCCUGCUCAAGCCUCUUCCCUUUCUUGUGCCUGUAUUAAAUACGUUCAGAGUGCUGACAAGUGAGCAGCAAUGGGAAGCGGGAGCAGAUCCAGCCUGCCUCUGCCCAGCAAGGAUGUAGAUCCCUCUGCGUGCAUAUAUUUGUCACAUUCACCUUCCAGUUUUCAGUCAGGAUAAAUGCAAAAGAAAGAAAAUACCGAGCCGCAGGAAUAGUCUGCGUGUAGCUCUGUGUUUGGACAUCACCUGCAAGAGAUCUCAAGAGAGGAGGAGAACAACUGGCUCUUGCUAAAAUAAUGCUUUGCCCUCCUCUAGUGGUACUUUUGAUCUCAGACUCUCCAAGGAAUUACCAGCAUUCAUCCAUCACCGUUCUGCCAUCUCCUGCAGCCCUUGCACAGCUGAGGCACCGAAGGUCUGAGUGAGCACAGGACACCCACUUCUACCAGCACCUCUUACUUUGGUGAUGGAGAUCUCGUCCCAGUCUUCAACAGAUAGCUUUUUAUGGUGAACGUGGUGUUGUUGAAUAGAUUGCAAGUGUUGUAUGCAAACUUAUAGCUGCCACAGAGAUAUGCUGACAUUUUUAUCUGUCCCUUCUCAGCCUGGCCUUGGGUGGCUUCAGGCACACCAAACGCAGCAUUCUGCCUUUUCCUGCUGACUUUGCCAAGGCUCCCUUCCCCUUUCUGCCUUGCCCUUUCUGCCUUGGACACAGGCUGCCUGUCAACAGACCUAAUCACUAGAAAAGUUAUUUGCCCAGGUUUUGAAAUGCAAAUGGUUUCAAAGGCACAUCGGUGGCUAGUGUGGAGCUGAGAGAGACGAGCGUGCUCCCUGCCCAGGACCGACUCGGUCCCUUGGAGGCACAGCGAGAGGAGUUCUGCUGGUUGCAAUUACCCAGCGCUAUCAUAGGAACAACGACAUAAAAUCAGAUGGAGCAGUUGCUCCGCUUGUACCAAAGGCCUGGGAAAACACAAGUUGCCAGCAAUUAGUCCAGAGAGGAGCAAGAGCUGGCUGUCAGCUGAGCAUGUAGGUGCCGGGCUGGGACAUGGGAGGUGCUGAGCGUGCGGGGACACAGGAGCUGUGCUCCUCAUCCGUGCCCUGUGCUGGGCUCUCCAGGCACUGUGGGCCUCAUGUCCCCGUUAAAGCUGGGUUCCUGGGGUCCCACAGCUGCUAUUUAGUGCUAGUCCUUUCCCAACAAGCCUCUCGAGCUGCCCUGCCCUCUUUGGGGACCUCUGCUGAGGUUGUGCUUUGCUCCGAGGGGUCAAAAUAUUCCUGAUUCUGGUACUGGAAAAAUCAAAGAGAACUGGGAACAGAAGUGAUACCCUUACCUGGUAUGUGGCCAGGUUUGCUGUGCUUCCCACCCACCCUGCAAGCCACCGGUAUGUCAGGCAGAUCCUUGCAGCGCCCAAGCCCAUGGGAUAAGCCACGAUCUUGCCAGAACAGCAAGUCACAAAUACUAAAAGCGCAGUUAACGGUACUUAUACUUAGAAGUCCUCUGGAAACCAAAGAUAACACAUGUUCCUGUAGGAAACGCAUGUUAGAGAAACAGCCUAUGCUCCCUGAGGACUGUUCAACAUCCAUCUGUGGCCGUGCUGUCCAGUGGUGCACGUGUGGAAGAGCUGCUGGUGGGCUCGGCGAAACCUCAUUCACAGCAGAGAUCUCUGCAGGGCAGCGUCAGGCAGGUGCUGCAGCGGGGACCCUUGGUGCUGCCGCGCUGCUGCUUACGCUGGCUCCCGGUGUGUUGAGUGCCAGCGGUGCCUCGGGGCUUGGGAAGCCUCCACAUCAUCUUUCCAAAUCUUGCAUUUGCACAGCACGCUUUUCCCGUGAUACCGAAAGGCAAAUCACAGCUCUCCAGAAUUGCAUCUGCAAGCAGCUCCCGUCCUGUGUCCAGGAUGACCAAGGAAAACAAAUGACAUGAAUAAAUCAUAAAAUUUGCAGAACAUGCAUUUUGCCAGGGACAAAACAGAUUCAGAUCUAAUGUUCUGUGCUCUGAGCUAAAUUUAGAACUCGUGAUUUUGGACAGGCUUCUCGUAUUGCCAGGCAGGGUCUCAGGCCCUUCGCACAGAUUGCAAACAUCCUGCCUUCUUGGCUGUUUUCACGCCGGGCUCCGUACUCUGUUACCUUUCCAGGGAGAGUUCAGCUCUGGCCUUUCACACGGAAAGAGCCAAGCGCUUUGAGAAUAAUUAGAAACUGAUAGUUUUACGUAAUGCUACCAGAUCGUCUGGCCUCUCUUUGAAGCAGAGGAGGAGAGGACUUCAGCUGAACAACUCCGGAGCUAGGCCAGCCAGAGCAGAGCCGGCCCCGCUUGCUUGUAGGAUGGAAAUGCAAAUGCCUGCCCGCAGGCUGCUGGCUCCCUGGGCCAUUUGGGCUCCGAAUCCUCUGCGUGCGAAGUUUCUGUGUUGCAAUUACCAGCCUGGUUCCUAGAGGCUAUAAAGCUGUCCUCGGGAGGCCGUGAUGGAUGGUGCUGUGCUGUUCGAGUGGCCUUUUCUAGGGGGUGGUGCUAGCUUGCCGGCAUGUUCCUUGAGGUGAUCCUCUGCUGCUCCGUUGCUUCAGCGGGAGCCACAAUUCCCCGCUGCUUUCACUUCCCAGUCCAACUGGUCGCUCCGAGGCUGCAGUUUGUGUUUUCAAUGCUGAUGGCCAAAGCAAAGAAACGGAGCUUUUUUCCUCAAAGCACAGGGUUCACCAGUAUGACUCAACCGAGGCUCCAGAUGUAGCUCCAGAUGGCUGGCUAUAGAGAAUACCACCUCUAUUUGUUAUUCUGAGCUGUUUGUACAUGUUUUUGUACUUUAUUUCUUCCUUCUGUUUAUUCUGAAAGAGUUAAACUUUAUCACUCCAUCAGUGUUGGCGAAUUAGCUCUGUCAUGUGGGAUCGUUUCUCUUUCCUCUUAAACGACUUAGAUGAUUGACCAACAAAAUACUUGACCCAAAAUUUGCUUUUGGGUAACGUUCAAGGGUUUGAACUUCAGGCUUCAUUACUGGAGAGCCUGAGAGCCUGCCUGCUGGUGGAGUCUGAGCUUUCCUACCACGCACCAACCCAAUGCACCUUGCUCGUUAUCCUGCUCACCCAUUUGCAAAUUCAGAGAAGUGUUUGCAGUAAGUUUCCAGCACGCCUUGCUCAUCUCUCAAAUGUAUUUAAGGAGGUUGGGAUCCACCUCACUUAGACUGAACCCACGUUUUAGCUGGAAUUGGACAUCUAAGGUCCCGCUGUGAUCAACAAACAGAGGUUGUACCCCAAGGGGAGAGUGCUUCAGUCCUCCUAGUGAUGCCCAGGGGAGGUUUAAGGAAAUGCCCGGGGGUGACAUCCACUCUCCACUGGUUAUAGGAGCUGCUCAUGGGGCUGGCUGAGGCUGCACCCAACUCUCAUGUGGCAAGAUGGAUUCUAGCUGCAGGCACACGUUUUCAGAGGUAUUUAUCUGCCUAAACAAUCAGAAGACGCCUUGCAAGAUUUACAGAAAAGUUCUUCAGUUCCACUGAAAUAAAUGGGAUUUAGUUUAGAUAAGGCAGACUUUUGGGAAACCUGAUGUCUCACAUAUUUGUCUAAACACUUCAGAAGAAUGUGUGCCUGAAUGUUCUCUCAAAGUAAGGUCAGGUUUGGCUGACAGACAUUUAAUACGUUUGAUCUUAACGUGACCUUCAGGAAAUAACAAACAGUUAUUUCAAAAUAAAUGCUUUUUUUUUUUUCAGAAGGAUUGAAAAUAGAGCCUUUCCUGCUGCUGCUUUUUGAUGCAUUCCUUCCUGCCAAGGUCCUGACGACACCACCCUGCCUGGCAUGGAACAGUACCUUCUCCUGAUGGCAAGGGGAAGGUGGCAUUGUCCAAGUCCAGUUAUUCCUUGGGAUGUGCAGGACUACACUAACUCUUCCGGUCCCCUUAUAGACUCUCUCUAUACCUUUCUUUUCUUAAAAUACUAGGAAAAGGCACUGUCAGCCAGCUUUCAUCACGUCCCUCAACUGCUAAGCCUGGUCUCAGAGAGGAGACAACUUCAUGCUCAUAAAGUUCCAAAACAACGAGAAAACAAGGAAACAAAAACCCCCUUGUGUGCUCAGGUCCAGACAUCCCUUCUGGAGUGGUAAUUUGUGGCUGUCUGGUCCCUUCAGUGUCGUGGCACUGAUUUCCUCGCUCCUCCUGAGCUCCUGCCAUCUGUCCCCAGCCUGGAGAGGGUCUGCUCUGCUCGCUGAGCUGCUGGACCGCUCUUGGAGCUGCUGCUCCUUUCUUGGAAGGGGAAUAAAUCUUCAGCAACCUGUCAAACCUGCGUGAAAUUCCGACACGGUAAAACCCAACACGGUCACUGGAUGCGGCUACUCUUUCCUUCCUUUGUGGUCUUCGUGCCCGUGCUUCUGCUCAUGAAAGCUGUGCUACGUGAGCAGGUGUGUGUGUCUGCAUCCAGCUGUGCUCCCUCUGCAAGAUGGCAGCUCGUCACAUCUGGUUGUACUUGAUUAUACUGCCGAGAAAUCACCUUGUUCUCAUUUUGAAGCAGUGAGGAUGGCAGAAGGUCCCUUUAUUCGCAGUAAUCAAUUCGAGUUAGAGGGUCCUUUAAACUUGCAGACAAAAGACUAGCGAGAUCCAGUAAGCUGGAGCUACCAAAGGUCAAAGCAGAAAUAAGAUGGAAAGCUUUUGUACAGAGCAUAAUUAAUCAUCCCAACAUCCUUUUCAGAUGUAUGGCAGAUUUUCUAUCACUUAGAGCCUUUAAAUGAUGACUGAAUAUUUCUCAAAGUUAGAUUUAAGAUGAGCAACAAGUUACUGGGCAAGGCGCAGGAGUCAUUGCAAGAAAUUCAUCGCCAGCUCCAGGGAAGCCCAGCACAGAGGCCCUAUACUGGAUAUUUUGGUAGCAUCGCUGCCUGCUGUGGGAUCCCACUACUAAUGAGUGAAAUGUGCUGUCUCUCCUCAGCGAGGAGGCUCAGAGCCUGCAGGUCCUGGUGCAGGAGCGCACAGCCCAUGUGCUGUACUGCAAAUCCUCUCCAGGUUUCCAGCCACAACCAUCCGAGGCUCCUGCAUUACCUCUGAGGAGCGGUGCCUUUCUCCCCAGCACCCUUUUUCUGGUCCCAGACUUCAUCCCAGGAGACCAUAUCUCUUCCUACCCACACACCACGGGAGAGCAAAUAGCUCUUUCUCCCCACAGUGGGAUGUAGUUGAACUCAAAGAUGGAGCUGACGUCGUUUUACUUUAUCAGAUCUAUGCAUGAUGUGUGCAUUUGGCUAAGAAGCAUUUCUUUAGGAAGUUGCUUUAAGCUGAUGUUCAAAGUUAUGGGGUGCUGGAGAUCCAGAUGUGACCUGUGUGGGCAGCCCUGAGCCCAGCAUCGCUCCCUCAAGGUCCAGCUGAGCUCCUGAGCUACCAGUCAUCCAUUAAAUAGGUGCCUCUGAGGGCCUCGGGUGGGAAAAACAAGACCAAGUGGUGCAAAAAGAAAUUAAAUUUUGGCCUUGGAGCACCCCAAGCACAGACGGAGUAGCCUGGU